GUGAAACCAAUGCUGCUUAAUGCUGCACUAUAUUCACCAGCUUGUUGCUAACUUUUGUGCUCUGCAGUUUUUUUUUCUGUUUUUUUUUUUCAAGUAUUUUUUGGCAUUUUUAGCUUUUAUUGAUAUGAUAGCUGAAGACUUGGAUAGGAAACAAGAUCAGCGAGAGGGUGAGUGACAUGCAGCAAAGGGACCCAGGCCGACAGUCUAACCAUGGGUCUGCUGCAGUGAGGACAAAGCCUCUGUACAUGGGACACCCGCUCUACCAACUGAGGUAAAUGGCGCACCAGAACAACCUUUGAGUUGCGUAAAGAGGGAAACAAAAACACAGCUGCUGCAGGCUGAAAAAGCUAGCAAACACUGGCGCACAGAAUUGUACUAGAAUGAAGACUCAGACACGGUGCUAAAAAGUUCAACAAUCAUUCCUUUAAUGAAAACCAGGUUGAUGCAGGGAGGGUUUAUAAACAGGGCAGAGGUACAAGAAUCAGCAGUCGGUAACCAAGGCCCGCCAGUAAAGUGUCAUUGCGGAACAAGAGGAACUGGCAUAGACGGAAGGUGACAAUUAGACACAGGUGCAACACAUUAGGGCGGGGCAGGUAAUCACACAGAAGGGGAAACACACACGGGCAGGGAGUGCAGGACCUGAGAGCAGACAAGAGGUUAGCGUCAACAUAUAAAUAGAAAGUAUAAGACAAUGAGACAUGAGGAGAAACAAAAAAGGGCUAACUAACAGGACGAGGUGUCCACUUCUUACAUAUCGCACCAUCUUGGGGCAACUUCCAGCCAUGUGGCUUCGGACACUGCAAUAUUUUUGCAUCACUGCUUCUCUUGGCGUGGGCGCUUUUGGCAAAACAAUAACUCUUAAUUACCGCAAUGCAAACGAAGGGCCAAGGUGACGGUGACUCACUGCCUUUCCUGUGAACUGAGCAUUUACAAGGAAAAGUCCACAAAACACACCCAGAUGCGCUGCGGAGCGAUUGCUGCAGCAGCGGGGCCUUCACUCUCACUCUGGCCCCGGCCCAGCACAUUACAGUGCUCUCCUGACCCCAACAUAUGGCCCCGGGGACCCACCUCCAACCUUCUCUGACAGCUGCAUGUGUUACAUGUGGUUAGCAUGAAUGUCAGAUGAUAGUUUCACAGAACAGGCACAAACAUUUCUUGAGAAAACAACAAAAACCAAAACCAAAACAGAGCUAUUUAAUGGAGUGAAAUGUUUUUAAUAUGAUGCAUUUUAUUUGUUACUUGAUUUUUAACCAUUUAUCAAUAAAAUAUCUCAAGCAUUUUACUUGAUGGAUACCAACAAAGUUUAUUAAUAUGAGGCAUAAAGGAGUAAUGUAACAUCUAGC